UACGUAGGGCGCAAGCGUUAUCCGGAAUUAUUGGGCGUAAAGAGCUCGUAGGCGGUCUGUCGCGUCGGAUGUGAAAACCCAGGGCUCAACCCUGGGCCUGCAUUCGAUACGGGCAGACUAGAGUACGGCAGGGGAGACUGGAAUUCCUGGUGUAGCGGUGAAAUGCGCAGAUAUCAGGAGGAACACCGGUGGCGAAGGCGGCGACCUGGUCCUUGACUGACGCUGAGGCGCGAAAGCGUGGGGAGCAAACAGG
rnacentral:rRNA from 1 species